UACGUAGGGGGCAAGCGUUGUCCGGAUUUAUUGGGCGUAAAGAGCGUGUAGGCGGCCAUGCAGGUCAGCUGUGAAAACUCGAGGCUCAACCUCGAGACGUCGGUUGAAACCGCAUGGCUAGAGUCCGGAAGAGGAGAGUGGAAUUCCCGGUGUAGCGGUGAAAUGCGCAGAUAUCAGGAAGAACACCCGUGGCUAAGGCGGCUCUCUAGUACGGUACUGACGCUGAGACGCGAAAGCGUGGGGAGCGAACAGG
rnacentral:rRNA from 1 species